GGUUCAUUCAAAUUUCUGCCCUAUCAACUUUCGAUGGUAGGAUAGUGGCCUACCAUGGUUUCAACGGGUAACGGGGAAUUAGGGUUCUAUUCCGGAGAGGGAGCCUGAGAAACGGCUACCACAUCCAAGGAAGGCAGCAGGCGCGCAAAUUACCCAAUCCCGACCGGGGAGGUAGUGACAAUAAAUACUGAUACAGGGCUCUUUUGGGUCUUGUAAUUGGAAUGAGUACAAUUUAAAUCCCUUAACGAGGAACAAUUGGAGGGCAAGUCUGGUGCCAGAGCCGGGUAAUUCCAGCUCCAAUAGCGUAUAUUAAAGUUGUUGCAGUUAAAAAGCUCGUAGUUG
rnacentral:rRNA from 1 species